rnacentral:lncRNA from 1 species
CCCCAGGGUGCAAGCCACAACAUAUAUCUGCGAAAGCAGAACCGAAGGAACACCAUUGGGCAGACGGAGGCUUUGGGCUUUUUAAAAAGCGUUUCAUGUGUUGAGAGUGAAAAGGGGGAAUAUAAGAAAGAAGUGAAGUCCAGAUUUCCUAAAGUACAUCUCAGUGUGGAGAAAAGAGAGAGAAAGGGAGAGAAGAGUCAUGGACCCUACUUUAUGGUUGCCAUGGAUGCAAGGUCAGCCUUCCACACUUGGAUCUACCAGCAGAGUUCAGACAGGUCAACGUGUGACCGGCUCAGGCCCUGGGGUUAAAAGUUCAAGCAGCUAUGGAAAAACCAAUAUGUCCACGCAGAGUAUGCUGUACAAUUUAUUUCAAUUUACAUCAAGCCAUGCAUAUAAAAUUUAGAUAAAUUCCAUUCAGAUCUGAUGUUGCCUGACACACAAUGUAUGCAAACAGAUGUCUGUGGGGCUUUUUCUGUGCUUUAGAAAACAACAUUAAAUUUAAAAAUAUGUCUCUGGGAUUUCUUUAUUGAAUUACAAAAUGAACAUAAUUUUAACUUAAAUGUUUUCAUUCUUUUUUCCAAUUUUUUUGUGUGGGGGUCUUAAUAAUUUCUCAGUUCUCAAUCUACUCUAUGUCAUAUUAAAGAGGAUAAUGUAUAUUUACAACUACAGCUUCAGUGUUAUUGUAGUUAUAGAUUCUAUUUAUAUCCCUUACCACUUUCCGCAAAUAUUUAGUGAUUGAUAUUUCUGAUUUAUCUCUGGUUUCUAGCCUCAUCUCCAUUCCUUUCUACUUUGAACAUAGCAAGUCCUGGAGGCUGCUGGGUCGUCUUCCAGCCACAAGGUGGCUCCCCCAAUCCCUUCUCUCAAGCCAAUCGAUGUACACCUUUGCUGAGUUCUCCAGGCGGACUACAAUUCAGAGCUAAUUAUGAUCUAUAAAUGCCAUUAUUUUCAUUGUGAAGUAAAUGGCUUAUGACCAAGACCCUGGUACACUAAGAUACAAUGCAAAAUUAGUCUUUAAAAAUAGGAGAAAGAAAAAUACCUUUGUAUUUGCCUAAUUUCUCUUCACCCAUCCUUCCAAAAGUACAACUGAGCUAUCCUUAGAGUAAAAUAAGAAAAAUAAUAAAAGGCUCCAGAGGAACCUAAUUUUGUUGUCAAUGAACAUAGUCAUAGACUAGACAAGGUCAAAUUUUAAGAAAAGUAUACAACUUAUUCUCACUUAAACUAGACCUACUUUUGGAUUUGAUAUUUUACCACAAGAGAGUUUUGAUGAGAAGACUUUGCAAAACUUUCUUAGAAGUCCCACAUCAUGCCAUCAUUGAAGAACAGUGAUCUCCAAUACUGCAAGGCUUUAAAAGGAGUGGAAAUAUUACAUAUUUCCUUUUUGUUGCUUAGCAAACAUGUUGCAUAUUUCAUAAAUGUGAUUUUUAUAGAAGACAUCAUAAUUUUCUACAGCUGAAAUAGGCAUAGAAAGACAAAUCAUUCAUCCAAUUACAUGGAAGGUCUUUCUAAAAGUCUGAGUCCUAAUUUCUCACAGUUUUUCAUUUUCUGUUCUGGAGAGAAGCUAUUUAACCUUUGGGCAAGUUUCGUUUUCCUUAUCUGUAAAAUGGAGAUAAAAAUAGGAACUAUGCCUCAUGGGAUUUUUGCCAGGAUUAAAUGAGUUAAUAUACAUAAAGCACUUACAAAAGUCCUUGUUACAUAAUAAAAGCCAUAUAAAUGUUUGUUAUUAUUAUUAUUGUUUAUUUGAGCUCAGUUCCUCCUUGACAAGUACUUCAUGACACAAUCACUUGAGAAAAAUAAACUUUCAUAGAUUUCAUAAAGACCUGAAAAGUAUCAUUUUUUUUGAUACCUGAGAGCUCUGAUCGGGGUAACUGACGGUGUAUGGGCUUUUUCUUCCUCAAGAACUUUAAAAAAUUAGCAUUUUCAUCCCAAUUCAUGGUAUUACUUUCAAUAUGACACUAAAAAAAGAAACUGCUGAUUUCCAAAUCUCAAGCAGGUUUUAGAUAACACUUUAAAAAAUGCAUCAUUUUACUAAAGCAAAAAACAACCAUAAGUAGUGGUUCUAAUAACUUGGUUCCGAUAUUUGUAUUGUAAAUAUUUUCAUGUUACUUUUCCACUAUAUUAAAAAAAAAGUCUUUAGGAGCUUACUCAUGCCAGAAUAUAACUUUGUUAAGCCUCUUGUUAAACUUAGAACGUAUGAGUCCCCUGCUUCUAACAUAAAUAAAUGUUUUGAAUUCCCC